rnacentral:rRNA from 1 species
GACGAACGCUGGCGGCGUGCUUAACACAUGCAAGUCGAACGGAAAGGCCCUGCUUUUGUGGGGUGCUCGAGUGGCGAACGGGUGAGUAACACGUGAGUAACCUGCCCUUGACUUUGGGAUAACUUCAGGAAACUGGGGCUAAUACCGGAUAGGAGCUCCUGCUGCAUGGUGGGGGUUGGAAAGUUUCGGCGGUUGGGGAUGGACUCGCGGCUUAUCAGCUUGUUGGUGGGGUAGUGGCUUACCAAGGCUUUGACGGGUAGCCGGCCUGAGAGGGUGACCGGCCACAUUGGGACUGGGAUACGGCCCAGACUCCUACGGGAGGCAGCAGUGGGGAAUAUUGCACAAUGGGCGGAAGCCUGAUGCAGCAACGCCGCGUGCGGGAGGACGGCCUUCGGGUUGUAAACCGCUUUCGCCUGUGACGAAGCGUGAGUGACGGUAAUGGGUAAAGAAGCACCGGCUAACUACGUG